AGUGGCGGACGGGUGAGUAAUACGUAGGAAUCUGCCCUGCAGUGGGGGACAACCUGGGGAAACUCAGGCUAAUACCGCAUACGUCUUACGAGAGAAAGCGGGCCUCUGCUUGCAUGCUCGUGCUGCAGGAUGAGCCUACGUCGGAUUAGCUAGUUGGUGAGGUAAUGGCUCACCAAGGCGACGAUCCGUAGCUGGUCUGAGAGGACGAUCAGCCACACUGGGACUGAGACACGGCCCAGACUCCUACGGGAGGCAGCAGUGGGGAAUAUUGGACAAUGGGGGCAACCCUGAUCCAGCAAUGCCGCGUGUGUGAAGAAGGCCUGCGGGUUGUAAAGCACUUUCAGUAGGGAGGAUUAGCUAGCGUGUUAAUACCACGAGAGCUUGACGUUACCUACAGAAGAAGCACCGGCUAACUCCGUGCCAGCAGCCGCGGUAAUACGGAGGGUGCGAGCGU
rnacentral:rRNA from 1 species